GAAGAGCUGGUGGCUCCCUAAAUCGUCCCGGGCUUUCAGCACGGAGCAUGGGGGAGGGUGCCACAGUGGGGUCCCCCCAGGGCACACACCCCCCCAUUUCUUUUUGGGGGAGAAGAGUUUUUCCCGUCAACUGCCUCCCAUGGCAGGGCUGGGAACGAAAAUCCCUGAGACCGACAGGAGCAGGAGGGUGUGGAGGACCCCCUCUGCACCACACUGAUGAAGAAUUUAAACUGCAGCAUUUCUUUUUUUCCAGUCCACGGAAGAUCCCGGCAGCUCCGGGCCACAGCCGCUCCGUGCCCGGGGUAGUUGGGAUGCUGGCAGUGGACACCGUUUCGGCAUAAUUUAACACAGUCUCUACCAAUUUGUUACAUCCAAGAAGAGGCAGAUGUGCAUCCAUAUUCAUUCUGGAGGAACUUCAGGAAUUACAACUUCAUCAGCCAAGGCCGCCCGCCACCGCCGCCAGCCCCAGUUCCUGUGCAGGAGGAGAAGGGGCCGUGCCAGGACAUUGGCCACAUCCAGCCCUGCUCAAGGGGUGUGCCAUGAGGUGCCCAGCCUAGAGGAGAGGAGCCCUGUUCCAGGCACAGGACAUGGACACACCACAUCCCCUCCCUGGCCAGCGCAGCUCCAGUGCUACAGAGUCAGCUCAGAUGGCUCCUGGCCGCAGGCUCCAGCUGCUCCUUGCCUGUCCCAGGGAUGCAGACCGAGGAUCUCGGUGCCGCUGCCUCUCCUGCAGCAUCCUGGGCAGGAGUGGCCCUGGAAAACACCCUGGUGAAGGUUCAAGGAGGACAGGCCAGGGCCCCCCGGCCAGGUGCUCAGCUAUUUUGGGUAGGGAGAAGGCAUGAUCAGCCCACAGCAACUUGAAAGAGAGCUUAGAUAUGAUUCCUGCACCAGGAGGGCCACCAGUGGGUACUGGUGUCCCUGGCCCCACCGCUGGUCCCGUUCCCAGCCUGUCCAUUGGCACAAGGCAAACCUGGAGCCACAGAAGAGCUCUCCACUUCAGAGCAAGUCCAGAGAAAUAAAGAGAAGAGAAAUAAACCCCUACGUUUGCUCUGCACUCAGCCCCGAGCUGUGGUUGUGUCUUGCUGCUCAAAGGAUUUCUGGGAAAGCUCCACCACUUUUAUUCCUUAAACACAGAGCAAAACAAUCAAUGGGGUUUUGAUAUCGCCUAAGCCCUGCCAGCCUGUUCAUGGGAAGCAGUGGUGAGUGGGUAGAGCUGUAAUGGUCUGAAAAGAAACAGGCACGGGAAAAGGCACAGCUGGAAUUCCCAGUGCUCCCAGUUGCUCUGUGCAGCCGCUGCACUGACUCUGGACAGAUCAAACAAGGAUCUGCACAUCCCUGGGUGUGGCCUGGGGAGGGUGCAGGUGGGACUAACCAUGAGCCACCCUCUGCUCCA